UCGCGCGGCGCGGAGGGAGCGGG
rnacentral:miRNA from 1 species